AUGAAUCCCACCUCGGCCCCGGGCCCGGAUGGCCUCCCGGUGAAAUUCUUCCAGACUUUCUGGAAUGUGAUCAAACCAGAGAUCAUGGCCAUUUUCGACGAGUUCUAUGUUAGGUCCAUCGACCACGGGCGCCUCCACUAUGGGAUCAUCUCGCUCAUCCCGAAGGUCCCGGGCGCCUUCGACAUCCGUCAGUUUCGUCCAAUCACUGUCAUCAACGUGAUUUUUCGGAUUCUGGCAAAAGGGUACGCCAAUAGGGUGACCCUCCUCGCGGACCAGAUUACCCACCCCAACCAGUCCGCCUUCAUUCAAGGGCGGUACAUCCUGGACGGGGUGCUA
rnacentral:rRNA from 1 species